CAUGGACACAGGCAAAAAAUGUGUUAGAGGUUUGCUUAGUUCAAACAGCUGGAAUUGCCAUGCAAUCUUGGUUUGUUGUAAAAUGUAGACCAGGUACAGAACAGGAAAGAAUAUAGCUACCUGCCAAUUUUCUGUACCACGUCUGAACAGUCACUUAUAUACUCCUUAUGACAAAUAACAAGCAAAAUCUUAGAACAGCCUUACUCUACCCUAAGAGAAUGUCAACUUUGAGAUGCAUUGAGUAAUGUGUUUUUGAAACUGCUGCGUUGAUGUUAGACAUCAGUAUCACAUUUCUUAGCUAAGCAUGACCUGCAUGUAGCACUUCUGCAAUAGCAGGACAUUCAAACUCAUUAAUAGGUCUUGCUGUGCCAAUGCAGUAUCAUUUUUCCCUUUAUAUUUUCCUUCUUCUCCUUCAAAAACUCUCUAGAGGACUUUUAAGUUGAACACAAAGUGGGACAGCAAUGUUAUUUAACAUCUGAAGCUUUUUUUUUCCUGAUAGCCUAUAUUUGUCCUUUUUUAGUGCUGUCCCAUGGCUCUUCACUUUGAAGUGCAUCCCUGUGUCCCAGUUACUCACCUCCCUCCCUACUUUCCUAUGACUUUUACUGCAAGAGUUCACCCUCUUUCCUCCCAAAGGGAGUCCGAGGUCAAGAUAAAUCUCUGACCAUCUCUGUCCAGCUGCUCCAGGAGGGAAACAGGAGGGCAAGUGCAGCAAGUGUGAUCCAGCAAAGCUGGACACCUGCCGGGGGGGGGGGGGGGGUUUCUUAUCCUGUCCUGGACCACAGUGCGGCUGUGCAGCACAGGGAUUUGGGCUGUUUUUUGAGGAGUGUGGGAGUGGUGCCUAUUUUGCACUUUGUAAGCUUUGUGAAUGAGGUUUUCAUGUAGUUUUGCCAGAGGGAGUCUCAGAAGCAGGCGGGACAGAGCAAUUGCAUCCUGAGAGAGCUAGCAGGCUGGCCAAAGUGGUGGGAUUGGGAGUGGCUGGUACAGCCCUGUCUUCUCCCAGGUUCAUCAGUCACUGAAAAUAAACAUGCUAACAAACAUAAACAAAACCCUAAACUAAAAAUGGUUUGUUUAAAUUCUCUUUACCUCUGAAUUCCUUGCUGUCAGUUUUUUGGCUCCUGUAAUGCCACAUUUCUGUUACAUUUCCAGACAGUGCCUUCUAGAGAAAAAUCUGAACUUUUUGUGUGG